rnacentral:ncRNA from 2 species
GGUCAAGAGGACUGCGUCAAGGCCUGGCUCGCCGUCCGGCAACCUUCGCGCAAGGUGCCCCAGGAACGACCUGAUCGCCGCCGGUGACAACUGGUAGCGGUAACGCGGAUC